rnacentral:rRNA from 1 species
GUCCUUUUGAAUUUAAUUUAAGGUUUAACCUGCCCACUGAAAUUUUUUGAAGGGCCGCAGUAAUUUGACUGUGCAAAGGUAGCAUAAUCAUUAGUUUUUUAAUUGAAAGCUUGUAUGAAGGGUUGGACGAGGUAAAUUCUGUCUCUAUUUAAUUUUAUGUAGAAUUUAAUUUUUAAGUUAAAAAGCUUAAAUUUUUUUAAAAGACGAGAAGACCCUAUAGAUCUUUAUAUUAAAAAUAUUAAUUUUAAUUAAGAAUAUUUAAUUUUUUAGUAUUUAUAAUAUUUUAUUGGGGUAAUAAAAAGAUUAAAAUAAUUCUUUUUUUAUUCUAACAUUUAUUUAUGAUUAUAUGAUCCAAUUUUAUUGAUUAAAAGAUUAAGUUACCUUAGGGAUAACAGCGUAAUUUUUUUAGAGAGUUCAUAUCAAUAAAAAAGCUUGCGACCUCGAUGUUGGAUUAAAAAUUAUCUUAGGUGCAGAAGUUUAAGAUUUUGGUCUGUUCGACCAUUAAAUUUUU